ACCCACUAGUGAUGCUUUUAGUGCUAUACGAUCCUUUCAGAAUAUUUCUUUAUUCCAGCACAUUUCAUUAUUUCAACUGCUUAAAAUGAACUAAAAUAUAUUUGUGUUUAUUUCAUUGUUCGGUUGUGGACAUUAGUUGUGUAAAAGUAAAAAUGAAGUCUGGACUGUAAAGCAAGAUGAAGACAUGUUUUGUUCUACUUUUCCUCUUUCUAUCACAGAUCUUCAGAUAUGUUGGUGGAUCUUCAGGUCAGGAGUUGAUCCGUGCUGUAGGAGAAUCUGUGACAUUCAAUACCAGUGUCCCAGUUUCUGGGAAUAUAAUAUAUAAAGGUGACACAGUUGGACAGGUGUUUAAUAACGUGAGUGACACAAAUCUUAGGGAGAAGUUUGUGAAUCGUCUUCAGUGGGUCAGUCUGACUGGGCUCUUCACUCUCUCAGACCUGAGAACAGAUGAUUCAGGACUUUACACAGUGGAGAGCGUUAAAGACCCAAAGAAAAAACAGGAAUAUCAGUUGGAGGUGUACGAGAGAGUUUCAGCUCCUCAGGUGAUGAAGACCACCUCCUCUUCUUCAGAGUUCUGUUCAGUGCUGUGUUCUGUGAGGAACAGCAGAGGACUGAAUCUGUCUUUGUAUAAAGAUGAUGUUUUAUUAAACCACACCAGCAGCAGCAACAUCACACUGAAUCUUCUUCUAGAAAUAAAGAAGAGCGAUAAUCUUAGAUCAAAGACCUUCAGCUGUGUGUCCUCCAAUCCAGUCAGCAAUGAGAGAACCAGAAUCAACCUCACACACUACUGCUCUCUGAACACAGAUGAUAACCUGAAACAACUUCUCGGAACCAUGUGGUCCUUGCUGUCAUAUGUUCUCUGGGUUCAGUGCUGCUGGUGAUCGUGAUGGUAGUGUUUCUUUACAGAAAAAAACAGAACGCAGCGCCUCGGCGAACACAAGACUCCUUAGCAACUGAAGGACAGACUGACGAAGUCUUUUAUUCGGUGAUAAAUCAUAAAAAACCCACGCAGCCAAAUAUACCAGAACCUGCCUCAGAGGAUGUCUCAGAAGCAUGUCCACUAACAACUGUUUAUGACCGGGUUACAUUUGGAAGAACGUCCGAUGGCACCGAAAAUAACUGAACGGAACUGAAGUAUUUUACUGUAUUAUAUAAAAAGAUUGGCCCCAGACAUUUCAUAAAAAUAUUUAAUUCCAACAAUUUCAAUUUCAAUUUAGAUCAGUUUUAAAAAUUUAUCUAAAUUGUCCAUUAAACAGCAUUUGUACUUAAAUGCCUUCUUUCAUUUUCAAUGUCUUUGUUUCAUAAUGUAUACUAUUUAUUUGAAUAAAUAGUGAGUUAUUAUUAUUUUCAACCUUCUUUAUUCUGCCAAUGUAAACACACGGGUGUACAGAAUGUAGAGCUCAGUGUGCAGCUGUUCUUUUAUCUGAUGUGGUUGUAAAAAAAAAAAAAGUCAUUAAUGUAUUCAGUUCCCUGUUUAUUGUGUGGGAGCGAGUCCGGGUAAUUCAGUUAAGGGGAAUCCAGGAAAAAAGAACCCUCAAGUUUAUUGGCGCAGAAAUGCGACAGAAGUUAAAGAUGAAUUAUAGUUAUUAUAUUACAAACUGUGAAGAACAUAAUCCUAAGCAUUCUGAUCAAGCCAGGCUCUUUCAGGUCAAAAUGGUCCAAUUGUCACACCAAACAUGCAAUAAUCUGAAAAUAAAAGUGGGUAAAUUGUUUAAAAACACAAAUGAUUAACACAAGGCAACACACAUAAUAAAAAAAAACAUAACAUGGAAGUGAAAAAAGGAAAAUGGGUGACGAUCACGAAACGAGUGAUGAGUACAAAAGAAAGACCAGGUUUUCUGUGCUCACAGUAUCAGUAUACAAUGCGUGUAGUGUGAAAAUUUAACAGCUGCACAAACAUACACGUGACAUCGUUUAUUCAAGUGUGAGGGUUCAUAGGCCAGUGGGAAACACAGUACCUGUCCAUUAUCCUGUCCAAUUGUUAUAAAUCCAUCCUCAUAUAGCUAAAGCAACAAUCAUCAGACCAUCUGCUUGGUGGUAAUGACAGGUUUUAUAUUACAGGCAGUCUAAAUACUCAAAUCUGAUUGGCUGGAAGGUAUGCGUUCAAACCUAUAAACAUGUUCCAUCCAGUGACACGGAUAUUACAGGCAUUUCUUUAUAGAGCUAUGGAGGAUUAUUGGUGAAUAUGGCAACUUGGGUAAAAGCACAAGAUAAAUUUGACAACCGGGAGAAAUUAAAUUUACAAAAUCGAACAGAAAAUACCAAAAAACACACCAGACGUUCAAACCAACAGCUUCAUUACUGGUAGAGAAACAGCACAACUACACUACACAGUUUACUCUGCAAACAGCAAUGACAGUUUUAACGCCUCAGUGCUGGGAAGUGACCAUGGUAACGUGAUAAUCCACAGCUCGGGGUGUGGCCUUACACCAUUUUAAUGCUCUCCAGUUCUCCUCGGGUCGUUCUUCACCUCCACAUCGUUCACCAACAACCUGUAACACCUCACACCUACACCCGGAUCAUCACAUUAUUAUGUUUUACUGCCAUUGUAACAAUUUUUCCCUCAUAAUCCUGAGAUAUCUUUAUACACUGCUGUGAAUUUGGAUUUUUCUCACGUCACGUUUUGCAUAUUAAUUUGAAUAACCAGUAUUACUGGGGAAAUCUCUCCACUGAGUAUUGUGUGUAUUCUUAUAUUUGUGUUUGUGUGUGUGGUAAAAUGUUGUUGUGAGGUUAUAGAUUUGCUUAAUGUUUUUCCCCUGAAGUUCUGUCAUUAAUUCCACAACAUUUUCACAAUAAAGCAACAAGCGACUUGAUUUCAA